rnacentral:rRNA from 1 species
AUUGAACGCUGGCGGCAGGCUUAACACAUGCAAGUCGAGCGGAGUGAUGGUGCUUGCACUAUCACUUAGCGGCGGACGGGUGAGUAAUGCUUAGGAAUCUGCCUAUUAGUGGGGGACAACAUCUCGAAAGGGAUGCUAAUACCGCAUACGUCCUACGGGAGAAAGCAGGGGAUCACUUGUGACCUUGCGCUAAUAGAUGAGCCUAAGUCGGAUUAGCUAGUUGGUGGGGUAAAGGCCUACCAGGGCGACGAUCUGUAGCGGGUCUGAGAGGAGUGUCCGCCACACUGGGACUGAGACACGGCCCAGACUACUACGGGAGGCAGCAGUGGGGAAUAUUGGACAAUGGGGGGAACCCUGAUCCAGCCAUGCCGCGUGUGUGAAGAAGGCCUUAUGGUUGUAAAGCACUUUAAGCGAGGAGGAGGCUCUUUUGGUUAAUACCCAAGAUGAGUGGACGUUACUCGCAGAAUAAGCACCGGCUAACUCUGUGCCAGCCGCCGCGGUAA